rfam:Beta vulgaris subsp. vulgaris Bvchr6.sca028.con0171.1, whole genome shotgun sequence.
GUGCUCCUUAGAACUCCCUCAAACGCUUCAUUGGGACAACAUUAUUUAGACAACCAAAAAGGGAUAUAUGUAGUCCUACUGAAGUGUUUGGGGGAACUCCAGGGAUCAC